rnacentral:rRNA from 1 species
UGGGGAAUUUUGGACAAUGGGGGAAACCCUGAUCCAGCCAUCCCGCGUGUGCGAUGAAGGCCUUCGGGUUGUAAAGCACUUUUGGCAGGAAAGAAACGUCAUGGGUUAAUACCCCGUGAAACUGACGGUACCUGCAGAAUAAGCACCGGCUAACUACGUGCCAGCAGCCGCGGUAAUACGUAGGGUGCAAGCGUUAAUCGGAAUUACUGGGCGUAAAGCGUGCGCAGGCGGUUCGGAAAGAAAGAUGUGAAAUCCCAGAGCUCAACUUUGGAACUGCAUUUUUAACUACCGGGCUAGAGUGUGUCAGAGGGAGGUGGAAUUCCGCGUGUAGCAGUGAAAUGCGUAGAUAUGCGGAGGAACACCGAUGGCGAAGGCAGCCUCCUGGGAUAACACUGACGCUCAUGCACGAAAGCGUGGGAAGCAAACAGG